UAACUGGCCAGUUACUAAGGUUCCAGGUACAAACAACAACAGUAUUACCCAUGACUUCAUCGGCUCCACCUUGCUCCACCCUGCUCCAAAUCAGGGCUCCUGACAUUGGAACUCAUUGCCCCAGCAACCAGAAUGAUGCAACAAACAGAGGAGAACAUGCCAACUUGGAGGGAAGCUGCCAAGGUUGACUCUCCCUCUGCCCUUGGUAACAAGAUAACCUUGGAUAGAUCACUUCACUUCUGUAAGCCUCAGGAUCCUCAUCAGUGAAGGGCACUUCUCAUGACUUACUGCUUGAAUUGCUUAAGGGAGAGGAUUCGCACAGUGUCCUUGGCAGUGUAUUGAUGCUAAAGGGAGCUCCCUCCCUCCCUUUCCUCCUCUGCCUUUCCUCCUCUGCCUUUUUCUGCUCACAAGAGUGACCAAAGUGUCAAAGUGGUGUUUGGGGGCACAACAAUAUUUUCUUGUCCUUUGAGGCUCCAAGGACAACUGAUAGCCUUCUAGCAGGACUUGUCAGUCCCACGACACCCACAGUAUUUGCGAGACGCCUGAUCCCAGAUUGAUACCUGGCUGAAAGCCAGACCUCCAAUAUACCAAUUUGCUGAAUGUGCUAAGAAUGUUCUUGAAGACUAGCCUUGUUGAGUAUAUUCAAUGAAUAUGAAUAUGGCCUUCUUCUUAAUAAUUUAGACAUGAAUAUAUUCAGUGAACAUUAUUCUCAGCAUUUUAAGCUCAAUUUGUCUGAAGCUAAAUAUCAUGGGGGCUGUUUAGCUUUCUUAUGACUACUUUCUAGUGAAGAAUAGAUCUUGAAUAUCUUAUUAAGCAGAAUCUUGAAUAUAAUUAAAAUAUCUUGAAUAAAUUUUUGGAUAAGAGUAUUCAAGAAGUAUAAAUUCAUUGAGUAUUAUCAGUGAACAUAUUAAAAUAGCAUAUUUUAAGAACGUAGUCAUUGACUACACUCAAAAGGAAUGUAUUCAUAUUCAUUAGCUACAUUCAAUAAAAAUCUAAGGAAGAUUUUGGAAGAGUGACAAAUUUAACCAAUUUGAUCAAUAUCUUGAAUUUUUUGGGAAUUAUCUGUCACGGAAAUGAUUCUGGUGGAUUGGCCAGAUUCACUGCAAGACUGCUGGGGAAGACACUUAGAGCACUUCCAUGAGGUCUCAGAGGAAGUCCUCCAAGAUUCACCUCCAACUUCCCUCAUCUCCAGUUUCGGCAAGAGCACUGAUCCCUCACCUCUAUCCCCAACUCUCUCUGUGCCAGAAGGCAACCCACAUUUUAAGAGGAUUCUGUCCUCUUUAUUCUUUUUAAAACAUAAGCAUUUAUUUAUGCUCCAGGAAUAUAGAUUAUGAACCAAAUAUAG
ensembl:lncRNA